rnacentral:rRNA from 1 species
CGGAUUGAAGGCUGAAAUUCGCCUUCAUGAAGCUGGAAUUGCUAGUAAUGGCAGGUCAGCAUACUGCCGUGAAUACGUUCCCGGGCCUUGUACACACCGCCCGUCACACCAUGAGAGUUGGAAAUACCCGAAGCCUGUGAGCUAACAGUAAUGAGGCAGCAGUCGAAGGUAGAGCCAAUGAUUGGGGUGAAGUCGUAACAAGGUAAC